rnacentral:ncRNA from 2 species
UAUCUUUGUCCCCGCAUUGGUUUGCGACUCUCAUCACGAGGGAAGCGAUUAAAAGGGAAUCAGGUGUAAAUCCUGAACAGUCCCGCUGCUGUAAGUUCCAUAGAUAUGUUGCGAGCAAUCUACUCAAAGCCACUGGAAAGAAAAUUCCGGGAAGGCGCCCGCAACAGGAAUAAGUCAGAAGACCUGCCAUGUAAAAUCCGUUUCA